GCAAGUCGAGCGGUAGAGAGGAGCUUGCUUCUCUUGAGAGCGGCGGACGGGUGAGUAAUGCCUAGGAAUCUGCCUAGUGGUGGGGGAUAACGUUCGGAAACGGACGCUAAUACCGCAUACGUCCUACGGGAGAAAGCGGGGGACCUUCGGGCCUCGCGCCAUUAGAUGAGCCUAGGUCGGAUUAGCUAGUUGGUGAGGUAAAGGCUCACCAAGGCGACGAUCCGUAACUGGUCUGAGAGGAUGAUCAGUCACACUGGAACUGAGACACGGUCCAGACUCCUACGGGAGGCAGCAGUGGGGAAUAUUGGACAAUGGGGGAAACCCUGAUCCAGCCAUGCCGCGUGUGUGAAGAAGGUCUUCGGAUUGUAAAGCACUUUAAGUUGGGAGGAAGGGUAGUAACUUAAUACGUUGCUACUUUGACGUUACCGACAGAAUAAGCACCGGCUAACUCUGUGCCAGCAGCCGCGGUAAUACAGAGGGUGCAAGCGUUAAUCGGAAUUACUGGGCGUAAAGCGCGCGUAGGUGGUUUGUUAAGUUGGAUGUGAAAGCCCCGGGCUCAACCUGGGAACUGCAUCCAAAACUGGCAAGCUAGAGUACGGUAGAGGGUGGUGGAAUUUCCUGUGUAGCGGUGAAAUGCGUAGAUAUAGGAAGGAACACCAGUGGCGAAGGCGACCACCUGGACUGAUACUGACACUGAGGUGCGAAAGCGUGGGGAGCAAACAGGAUUAGAUACCCUGGUAGUCCACGCCGUAAACGAUGUCAACUAGCCGUUGGGUUCCUUGAGAACUUAGUGGCGCAGCUAACGCAUUAAGUUGACCGCCUGGGGAGUACGGCCGCAAGGUUAAAACUCAAAUGAAUUGACGGGGGCCCGCACAAGCGGUGGAGCAUGUGGUUUAAUU
rnacentral:rRNA from 1 species